rnacentral:sRNA from 1 species
AGGAUUUAAGCGAAAAGACAGAAACAGGGAAGGUCUUGAAGAUGAGUCUACUUAGAUCGCUGUCUCAUCUUUCGUCUCUUCCUCUUCAGCCUCCUCAUUCGCUUCUUCUUCCACUG